UAGUUUUUUUUAAUUCUUUUUCCGCGUGUAUUAACCAGUUCGAAAACUAUAAAAUAGACAUAUCUGCGCAUGUUAGAACUCAACACCAUUGAAAACUAUCUAUUGGUAUUCUACUGCUCUUCCCAUUACGGAAGCCAGCUUAUCACAUACGCUACCCGCGCAUCUUAGAUUACUCCACCGGAUUGCUGCCGUUGACUGUUCCGGUGACGAUGUCCGAUCAAAACCCAAAGCCCUAAAUCAAUUUUCCCGUUGAUCUAUCUAUUGCUAUUCUACUGCUCUUCCCAUUAUCUUGAUAUUCUUCCAUCCAUGAAAAGGAAGAAGGAAAAAUCAAGAACUUGUUGGCUUUUUGAAGUUACAUUAGUAUUCUCAAAUGCAUAUUUUUAAAAAAAGGAAAUGGGGAGCAUUAAGCUAAUACAGGCCUUUUGGAGUUCAAUUCGAUCAGGGGUUAUCUUGUUGUUGAGGAGUUGGUUUUCAACAGCCUCCAUGCUGGUGCCUCCAAGAUAUGCUAAUUGACCCUUUCAAAGUUUCAAGUUGUUGAAUGGAAAGAUGUGGAGCCGUUCUUGAAGGUAUCUGUUGCUAUAGGCAUUGGUACCUGCUAUGUUAAGGAUCUAGUGUCUCACGAGAUGGACUGGUGCUCAUGGGAGGAAGAUAUGAUGAUAUGCAUGCUUUCCUAGCAAGCUUUGGCUUUAAAGGAGAGCUCUGAGCUCUAUUUCUGACAUUUCUUUUUGGAAAUUCCAAAACUCAUGGGAGGCAUCUUAAGGUUUUGAAGACGAUGGCAAGUGUUUGUACCUUGGAAUUGAUGAAUGUAGAUAAGAUGUUGGUACAACAGAAUCUUGAAGUCCAAAGAGGGUUUUGCAUUCUCCGAAAGAGUCUCUGAUUUGUUGAUUUGCAUGCAGUGAGGAUGACCUGCUUUGCACACUUGAGGAUGACCUGCUAUAUAUGAAAAUGACCUGCUUUGCUUACCCAAUCAUUUCUGCUUCCUUUAAAUGAAUUUUGCAGUCUUUUUUUUUUCAAAUUUACAUCAAUUUUCAUAAAUCUAGAUAUUUUGCUACAUCAAUCUUCUUGGAGCCUUGCUAUCUCUAGGGGAUUGUGACAUCCAGCUGUAUUUUGAUUUUUGAGUGGGAUCAGGGUAGAGGGGUGGCUCAUCUUCUCAGGAGUUCCAAACUUGUAGGUCAAUGUGAGUCAUCUAAUUCACAAUAAAAUUUUCUGUUAUUCAUAAAAAAUUGAGCCCUACCAAUAAAUUUAGGUUGAUCUUCAGCUGUGGAGGUUGGAAACACAGCUUUGACCUAUUAAAUGUGCCAACACUGUUGAUCUUUUGCAUUAUUCUAGAGACUCAAGAGCUUUCGAGGAUACUUUUUUUAUGUAUCCUUUGUUUCAAAAGAUAUACCUGUGAAUUAUUAGAUCAAGAAAAAGAGGUGCAGGGCCCAGAAUUGCAAAGCUACACUUGAGCUUCCUUCCCUGCAGCCAAAGAAACUGACUGGAGAGUGCACUGUCUGAGAGAGAUUUGAUCUUUACAGAAUAUUCUGUGGGGAAGUGCUUCCAAAAAGCGUGAUCCUGAGUCCAGAUUCUUCUUGUCAGAUUGAAAGUUCAAGUCGGUCAAUUGAUGGAUCUCUUGCUCAUUACACAGUUUGUGUAAUUGGAAAUCCAGAAGCUCUGUGCAACCCUUUCCAUCCAAUUCGAGCUAUCUUGCUCAGAGCUUCCACAGCGGUCGUCCCAUCAGUGCGAUCAAUCUUCCACCCAAAGCUGUGGUGACGGUGUAUUCUCUGAGGCAAGGCCAAUUGUGAAAAUGAAACUUGUUAACAUCUGGAAUAGCUAGUUACAAAUUCAAGGGGAGUGCAGGGAGUAGUUCACAAGUACACGCGAUGGGGAGUCAAAAGAAGGUUAACCAAUCCUGCCAUUUGUUCCUGCCCUGGGUAAGAGAACUUGCACCAACAAAUACUCAAAAUUUCUUAGAAUCUGUGAUAAAAUGGAGUGACUUCCGUCCAAAGAUUACAUCAUUGUCAUGUUCUACAACAUGCUACAGAUAAGCGAAUUCGUUUGGAAGAACUGUUUGAGAAGGUCCUAUCUGGAAAAAUGAGGACAACAACCUAUGUUGAUUCUGAGCAAGAAUUGAUACGAUUAUUUUGAUAAUAGGUCAUUCCUGAAAUUGGUUACCAAUUACUACUCAACUAUGCUGUCCAAAUUGAAAACUGGGGUUGUAUAUGCAACAAUCAUUCUCAAACUUCAAGAUCAUUUACCAGCCGGAACUUAACUCUGAUUCACAAGCAACCAACAUCUGUCACACUUCUUGCGGUUCUGUGUAUUUUGUGUGUUAAUCUAACUGAUGUGGAUCUUUGUGUGUUAAUCUAACUGAUGUGGAUCUGUUAAAAUUUAUUCAACAGAUGCUGUGUCAUGUUCUCUGAGUAAUGUAAUUGCAACCCACAGCUUGCUGAUACAGAUGGAUCAUCAAUAGAGUACCCCAUCAGUGAACUGGGUCCUGAAUAAGAAGCCUUGCAGGAAUAUACCUGUGAAUUAUGAGAUCAUAAAAAAGAGGUGCGGGGACCUGAGUUGCAAAGCGACACUUGAACUUCCUUCCCCGCAGCCAAAGAAACUGAAUGGAGAGUGCACUGUCAGGAGAGAGAGAUCCGAUCUGCACAGAAUAUUCUGUGGGGUAGUGCUUCUGAAAAGCAUGAUCCUGAGUCCAGAUUCCUCCGUCAGAUCAAAAGUUCAAGUCGGUCAAUUGAUUGCUCUCUUGCUCAUUGCACAGUCGGUGUGAACUGGAAAUCCAGAAACUCUGCGCACCCCCUUUCAUCUAAUGUUUUACCUACAGAGGAUGAUUUCCUGGAUAACAAAUUCAGUGCUUCAGCUAGCUCCAGUUAUAAAUCAGACUGCCGGUUUGGUUCCGUAUGGGAGGAGUCUUAAACAAUUGGAGCUGGCAUAUCAACAGAUGAUGCGUCAUUUAGGGAGUCUCUUGAACUUGACAACAGUUUAAAUGUGAUGCAUGAGAGAGGGAAACCAUUUAUGCAGAGCUGUUCUUUGCAUAGAAGCCUGAUACAUGAUGGAUCAUCUUUUGAUAGUGAUGAAGAUAUUAAGUUUGAAAAAAGUAAAUACAUAACUGAACAAAAUCGCCUUGAAGAUGAUUAUAGUGUUGAAUCUGAAGUAGCUGAUGAUGUUAAUCAGGUCCUAAAUCAUAGGUCUCCUAAAGGCAAGGAAAUAUAUUUUAGAAGCUCUCCAGCUGCAAAACUCAGAGCAAGGCAUUGCAGAGGUCAAAAUUUCUGUCAGGAGAUUCAGAAAAGUCUUCAUUAACCUAGGACAUUCUAGAUGAAUACGAUCAUGUUAUGGACUUCUUUAAACAGACUGCUGAAAAUUAUGGUUCUGGUCUACCAUCUUUUAGUCCAGAACCGUCUCCUCUUCCACCAGAUCGUUUGCUCGGGACCAGGUUUUCAAGAUGUUAAUCCUUACAUUGCUGAAAGUGGGAUUUAAACUUCUGUUAAACAUGAAGUUGGUGUGACGUAUAAUUUUGGAAUCAUGGAACAUAAUCUCUUGGUUCCUGCCAUAAAUAAUAUGGGAAAAGAGGACUGUUUGUUCCCAAAUCCUGCAAAGUUUGAUCUCGAUUUUUAUGCUUGUUCUAAAGAGGAUAUGGGUAGUAUAUACAUGAUGCGUGGGACGUUUAUAGUUCAGGUCCUUCUGAAUUCUAUUAUGACGGACUUGAUUUGUCACAUUUACAUUUUCAUGGUGAAGAAAAUCUUAAUAAUUAUAUGACACCACGAGCUAUGCUCUCCUCUAGGGUGGAUGGGAACUCGGGUAAAUGGAUUGAUGCUGGAAAUUGAGGUAAAACAGAUGAGUUUAUACGGAAGAAGAAGAGUAGAAGAAGUCAUUCAGCUCCUCCAUUUUACCAAGGCAAGAAGAAGUUCUUUGCCAAGGGCGAGUCUUCAAGAAUGGCAGCAGGAAAUAACAAUAUUAAGACUCUUUAUGAUGUGCCACUCAUUCCAGACACUAGAGCUGUAAGGAUACUCCAGCAUUCUGCAGAAGCUAUCUGCUCGGAGCUUCUCUGAUGAAAGGACAAAUGUGAAAAUGAAACUAGAUAACAUCUGGAAUAACAAAUUACAAGCUCAAGGGGAGUGCACAAGUACACGCGAUGGGGAGUCAAAAGAAGCAUGCUGCAGAUGAGCUAAUUCGUUUGUAAGAACUGCUGAUUGUCUAAAAACUCAUUGAUGUGUUAUUUCAACUUGGAGUUUGUAACAACAACAACAUACCCAGUGAAAUCCCACAAGUACUUGGAGUCUGUAACUUAUUGAAUUAUCAGGUCUAUCUGGACAAAUGAGGACAACAACUUAUCUUGAUUCUGAGCAAGAAUUGGUCAUGCCUGUAAUUGGUCACCAAUUACUACACAACUAUGCUAACCAAAAUCAAAACUGGGGUUGGACCUACAACAUUCAUUUACAAGCUUCAAGAUCAUUUAUCAGGAACUUAAAUCUGAUUCACAAGCAACCAACAUCUGUCGCACUUCUUGCGAAUUUAUUCAACAGUGUAUUUGCAACUCACAGCUUGCUCAUACUGAUGUAUCAUCAAUAGUUCCCCAUCAGCGAAUCGGGUCCUGAAUAAUAAGACUUGCAAGAUGUGCUCAUGGACGACCGACUACUGUCCCUCUUGUCAACUUAAGUGCUCUGCAUGACUCAUGAGUAUACAUAUUUUGGUUCUGCUUGCUACCUACCAGGCAAUAAUUUCCCGCUGAAGAUAUUCAGUUUGUUUUCAUCACAUUGAAGGAUAGUCUUGAUUUGGAGCACGGUACAUCUAUAUACAGAUUCAACAAAUAAAUGGAGAUGGGGUCAAUUUGGUGAGGGUAUCACAAGGGUUGUUGUGGAGUUGGUUUUCAACAGCCUCGAUGCUGAUGCCACCAAGGUAUCUGUUGCUAUAGGCAUUGGGACCUGCUAUAUGUGCAGGUGGAUGACAAUGGAUCUGGUGUUUCAUGAGAUGGACUGGUGCUGAUGGGAGAAAAAUAUGCGACAUCAAAAUACAGCCAUUCAGAUGAUAUGCAGGCUUUCUCAGCAAGCUUUGGUUUCAAAGGAGAGUCUCUGAGCUCUAUUUCUGACAUUUCUUUAUUGGAAAUUGUUACUAAAACUCACGGCAUGCCAAACAGAUAUCAGAUAUCGUAAGGUUUUGAAGGACGGCAAGUGUUUGUAGCUUUGAAUUGAUGAUUGUGGACAGGAUGUUGGUACAACAGUCAUUGCUCGUGAUGUAUUUUACAACCAACCAGUUCGAUGGAAGCACUCCAACCCAAAGAAUGCCUUACAUUCUUUGAAAGAGUCUCUGCUAAGAAUCGCCCUUGUGCAUCCCUGUGUCCUCUUCAAAGUUGUUGAUAUUGAAAGGAUGACUUGCUUUGCACAUGUGCUUCUCCUUCUCUGUUGCCACUAUUGUCCAGUGAGUUUGGGAUUCAUCUGAGUUCCCUUAACAAAUUGAAUGCAAGUGAUGGUUCAUUCAAACUCUCAGGAUACAUUUCAGGUCUUGAUAUUUACACAGUGAAGAUCAAGGUAGAGAGGUGGCUCAUAUUCUCAUAUUGAACCAUAUCAUCUACAAUGAGCCUGAUAUUUAAGUGGGAUCAGGGUAAGAGAGAAGAAAAAAAGUGAGCGCAACCAGAAAAUUUAGGUUGAUCUUCACUCUUCAGCUGUGGAGGUAUCUGUUGCUAUAGGCAUUGGGACCUGCUAUGUUAAGGUGGAUGACAAUGGAUCUGUUGUUACACGAGAUGGACUGGUGCUGAGGGGAGAAAGAUAUGAUAUACUUUAGAAUUAUGAGAUCAAGAAAAAGAGGUGCAGGGCCCAGAGUUGCAAAGCUACACUAGAGCUUUCUUCCCCACAGCCAAAGAAACUGACUGGAGAGUGCACUAUCCUGAGACAGAUUCGAUCUUCGCAGAAUAUUCUGUGGGGAAGUACUUCUGAAAAGCGUGAUCCUGAGUCCAGAUUCCUCUUGUCAGAAUGAAAGUUCAAGUUGGUCAUUUGAUGGAUCUCUUGCUCAUUUCACAGUUGGUGUAAACUGGAAAUCCAGAAGCUCUGUGCAACCCUUUCAUCUAAUACCAGAGACUAGAGCUGUAAGAAGACUACAGCAUUCUGCAAAAGCUAUCUGCUCAGAGCUUCCACAGCAGCCAUCCCAUCAGUGUGAUCAAUCUUCCACCCAAAGUUGUGGUGACGGUGUAUUCUCUGAUGCAAGGUAAUGUUAUCAAACUUUUUGGGAGGGAUAGGGAGUAGUUCACAAGUACACACGAUGGGGAGUCAAAAGAAGGUCAACCAAUCCUGCCAUUUAUUCCUGCCCUGGAAUUUGCACCAACAAAAACUCAAAAUUUCUUUGAUUCUGUGAUAAAAUGGAGGGACUUCCAUCCAGAGAUUAUACAUGCUGCAGAUGAGCAAAUUCGUUUGGAAGGCAGGUUUGGAAGAACUGCCUGAGAAGAUAAUGAUUGUUUAAAAAUUCAUUGAAGUAUCAUUUCAACUUGGAGUCUGUAACUUAUUGAAUUAUCAGGUCCUGUCAGAGAGAAUGAGGACAACAACUUAUCUUGAUCUGAGCAAGAAUUGGUCAUUCCUGUAAUUGGUUACCAAUUACUACACAACUAUGCUGAGCAUAUUCAAAACUGGGGUUGGAUCUGCAACAUUCUCAAACUUCACGAUCAUUUACCAGAUGUUGUGUCAUGCUCUCUGAGUAUUGUAAUUGCAACCCACAGCUUGCUGAUACAGAUGGAUCAUCAAUAGAGUACCCCCAUCAGUGAACUGGGUCCUGAAUAAGAAGCCUUGCAGGAGUGCAAUUAUGUUUGGAGAUGCAUAGUUGCCUUUGACUUCUGAUUUCUGUUAUUUCUGUUAUUAUUUAUUACUUUCUAUGCUUUGAUUACUCAAUUUUACCUGUGACGCUUUCAUUAUUUAUUUAAUCAUUAUUUGUUAUUAGUAUUUAUUUAUUUGUAUUUAUUUGUUAUCUAUUUGUUAUUUGUUUGUUGUUUUUCUCAUAAAGCUUUUAAUUUUCUAUUCUUAUCUAACAUUUUUUAUGCAUUUAUGCUUUUACUGAGCCGAGGGUCUCCAGGAAACAGCCGUCCUACCUUGGUAGGAGUAAGGUCUGCGUACAUUCUACCCUCCCCAGACCCCAUGUUGUGGGAUUUCACUGGGUUGUUGUUGUUGUUGUUGUAUGCAUUGUUGCCUUCCGAAUGUUUUCUCAUUGUUGAGGAGUUGAAGCAGACUUCAUUGUGUUUUCAAGUGAAUGGAAAAUUGCAUUUCAGAAGUUUUCUGUAUUGGAUCUGCAUUUGAUGGUGCUCUGCAUGAGCAGAUUGCUAAGUUAGGUUCGUGGAAUAGGAUUUCCUUGGAGGCAUUGCAUGGAUUACACGGGCAUGAAAUCAACCUAGAACGUGCAACAAAGCGACUAAGAUUGAGUCUGCAAUCAUCACAUUGAUGUAUAAUCUGGAUAUGGAGCUCGGUACAUCUAUGCAGAUUCUAAUCUGGAUAUGGAGCUCGGUACAUUUAUGCAGAUUCAACAAAUAAAUGUAUGUACUAAAUAUAAUACUAGCUUUUGAUGGCAGUAACACUCUCUUUCAACACACACACGCACAUACACAAAAAAAAAUAGGAAAAGGGAAUGGAUUGUAUAGUUUUCAUGUAAAGUCAGAGUAACUCAUUGUGUAUAGAAUGUAAAGAAACACUACAAUAAUGAAUUAGGUAAUUUGAUUGUAACAUCAUUCAUCUGUUGAGUUGAUUAAAUUUGUAUGUCUCACUUUUUAACCA